GACCUGGUAGUCCACGCUGUAAACGAUGUCGACUUGGAGGUUGUUCCCUUGAGGAGUGGCUUCCGGAGCUAACGCGUUAAGUCGACCGCCUGGGGAGUACGGCCGCAAGGUUAAAACUCAAAUGAAUUGACGGGGGCCCGCACAAGCGGUGGAGCAUGUGGUUUAAUUCGAUGCAACGCGAAGAACCUUACCUACUCUUGACAUCCAGAGAACUUAGCAGAGAUGCUUUGGUGCCUUCGGGAACUCUGAGACAGGUGCUGCAUGGCUGUCGUCAGCUCGUGUUGUGAAAUGUUGGGUUAAGUCCCGCAACGAGCGCAACCCUUAUCCUUUGUUGCCAGCGAUUCGGUCGGGAACUCAAAGGAGACUGCCAGUGAUAAACUGGAGGAAGGUGGGGAUGACGUCAAGUCAUCAUGGCCCUUACGAGUAGGGCUACACACGUGCUACAAUGGCAUAUACAAAGAGAAGCGACCUCGCGAGAGCAAGCGGACCUCAUAAAGUAUGUCGUAGUCCGGAUUGGAGUCUGCAACUCGACUCCAUGAAGUCGGAAUCGCUAGUAAUCGUGGAUCAGAAUGCCACGGUGAAUACGUUCCCGGGCCUUGUACACACCGCCCGUCACACCAUGGGAGUGGGUUGCAAAAGAAGUAGGUAGCUUAACCUUCGGGAGGGCGCUA
rnacentral:rRNA from 1 species